UCCGGUUGAUCCUGCCGGACCCGACCGCUAUCGGGGUAGGGCUAAGCCAUGGGAGUCGAACGCCCCGCCGCUGCGGGGCGUGGCGGACGGCUGAGUAACACGUGGCUAACCUACCCUCGGGACGGGGAUAACCCCUCGGGAAACUGGGGCUAAUCCCCGAUAGGCGGGGGGUGCCUGGAAGGGUCCUCCGCCGAAAGGGGCCGCGGGGGGUUAUCGCCCGCGGUCCGCCCGAGGAUGGGGCUGCGGCCCAUCACGGUAGUUGGCGGGGUAAUGGCCCGCCAAGCCUACGACGGGUAGGGGCCGUGAGAGCGGGAGCCCCCAGAUGGGCACUGAGACAAGGGCCCAGGCCCUACGGGGCGCACCAGGCGCGAAAACUCCGCAAUGCGGGCAACCGUGACGGGGCUACCCCGAGUGCCCCCCUUGGGGGGGCUUUUCCCCGCUGUAAGUAGGCGGGGGAAUAAGCGGGGGGCAAGACUGGUGUCAGCCGCCGCGGUAAUACCAGCCCCGCGAGCGGUCGGGGUGCUUACUGGGCCUAAAGCGCCCGUAGCCGGCUCGACAAGUCCCCGCCUAAAGCCCCGGGCUCAACCCGGGGAGUGGCGGGGAUACUGUCGGGCUAGGGGGCGGGAGAGGCCGAGGGUACUCCCGGGGUAGGGGCGAAAUCCAUUAAUCCCGGGAGGACCACCAGUGGCGAAGGCGCUCGGCUGGAACGCGCCCGACGGUGAGGGGCGAAAGCCGGGGGAGCGAACCGGAUUAGAUACCCGGGUAGUCCCGGCUGUAAACGAUGCGGGCUAGGUGUUGGGCGGGCGUGCGAGCCCGCCCAGUGCCGCAGGGAAGCCGUUAAGCCCGCCGCCUGGGGAGUACGGCCGCAAGGCUGAAACUUAAAGGAAUUGGCGGGGGAGCACCACAAGGGGUGGAGCCUGCGGCUUAAUUGGAGUCAACGCCGGGAACCUCCACCGGGGGCGACAGCAGGAUGACGGCCAGGCUGAAGGCCUUGCCCGACGCGCUGAGGGGAGAUGCAUGGCCGUCGCCAGCUCGUGCCGUGAGGUGUCCUGUUAAGUCAGGCAACGAGCGAGACCCCCGCCCCUAGUUGCCAUCCCCGGGGCGACCCGGGGGGCACACUAGGGGGACUGCCGCCGCUAAGGCGGAGGAAGGAGGGGGCAACGGCAGGUCAGCAUGCCCCUAAACCCCCGGGCUGCACGCGGGCUACAAUGGCGGGGACAGCGGGUGCCGACCCCGAAAGGGGGAGGCAAUCCCUCAAACCCCGCCUCAGUUGGGAUCGAGGGCUGCAACUCGCCCUCGUGAACGUGGAAUCCCUAGUAACCGCGCGUCAUCAUCGCGCGGUGAAUACGUCCCUGCUCCUUGCACACACUGCCCGUCGCUCCACCCGAGGGGGGAGGGGGUGAGGCCCUCUCCGCCGGGAGGGGGUCGAACCCCCUCCCCCCGAGGGGGGAGAAGUCGUAACAAGGUAGCCGUAGGGGAACCUGCGGCUGGAUCACCU
rnacentral:rRNA from 1 species